rnacentral:lncRNA from 1 species
GGUGCUGGCGGGGCGCGGGCGGGGCAGCGCACAGGCCGGCCCUCUCGCGGGACUCAGUUUCCCCGUCUGCGCGCCCCACAUAUUCGCUUUCCGCAGGUUCUCUCGCUGAGAUUCGCGUCCUUCAAACUAAUGGAACUUUGCAAGGGGGCCCUGCGGCGGCUUCGCGUGGGAGCGCCGGGGAAAGUUCCUGCAAAUCGCCGGACUGGGGGCCCGCCCGGGAAGCUCGGACUGGGCCGGGCAGGGACUGCAGGGGCCUCUGCGCAGACCCGGGGCGUUGCGGCACCGCGGACCCCGGUCACGCGCUGGUUCUGCCCCCGGUACCCCGCACGCGGGACCCUGACCGCGGGGCCUCUGCGGCCGGACGAAGGCAGCGUCCGCGGAGCUGGCAGAAAGCCCGCGCCCAGACCCACAGUGAAGUGAUAAAAGCAGAGAGCAGAAAGGAGAAAACUGAGGGCCAGAAAGGGUGACUCCCCUGAGUGUCAUGCCACAAGUUGAGUGCUGGAGCCAGGACACCUUCCAAACCGGCUGUGCCUGCCUGCAAGCCCCAUCCUCCUCCAUCCCCCUGAGCAGCCAGACUGCAGAGGGAAUGAGCGGACCGAAAACAGUGUGGCCGCAACUUCCCCACUGCUUUGCGGGAGGUGGAGGGAGUUUCUAGGCUCUUUCCCUGUUGGGGAAUUAAGUAGCUGGGGAUCCCACUGAGUCUCCACCACCCUCUCACCCAUUUUCCACCCCUCCCCCACCACAUAUACAUUCUGCUCCCCCAGUGCCAAAUAACUUGCAUUUUCUGGAACACACCUGUCUGCUUACGGUCUCUGUGCCUUUCUUUGCCCACAUCUCCCCUCUUCUUGAAACACCCCUCCUCCCCUCCAGCGUGGGCUCAUGUGACCUAGAGAAGCACGUGGGAGCCCUGUCAUCUGGGGGACUUGGGUUCAAAUCCCACUUCUGGUCCUUAAGUCUGUGACUCUGGGCCUUUGUUUAAUAACUGGAGGAGUUUCAUUAGGAAAAUGGCAGUGACCACAUAUGUCCCUGGAGUGACUGAUGUGCCACCCACAAGCUUCUAUUUGGUCAGUGCUGGGUCCCAUCGUCCCAUCUAGCAUGCUCCUCUUCCAUCCUCGUGCCCCCACUCAGUGCCAUUGUCUCUGCCUCUCACCCUCUGUGCUGCUAUUCCUGCCCUCAUCACCUCCUCCCUAGGGCAGAGGCCCCGUCUUCUUUACCAUGCCCCAGUGCCAGCACAGUGCUUUGGCAAGUUAUUCAGCACUGGGGGAGUAGAGUGUAUGUGUGGUGGGGGAGGGGGUGGAGAAUGGGUAAGAGGGUGAUGGAGACUCAGGGGGACCCCCAGCUACUUAAUACCCCUGAGGAAGUGUCGGCCGAAGUGGACCCACUCCUGUGACAGUUCACAGCCUAGAAGAGGCGUCUGUAACCACGGUGACCAGUAAGUGCCAGCCCUGGGGCCACGUGGCUGUUCUAGAGAAGGAAGACAGCACUACCCUGAGAGCCAUGCUGGUGGCUUCAUCAGGAAGGGAGUCAGCAGGGGGAGGACUGGGGGACCAAGCGGUCCCUAAGAAGCAGAAUUUGCAAUACCCAAGGUUUUAGAAAGAGCAACCUGGCAGGGCCACUGCACAAUGAGAUCACAGACUCACCUCCCAGCUGUGAGUGCAGCUCACCCCACCUGCUCUGACCCAGGCACCGGUUAUGAAGAAGACAAGCAGCUCUACAGAGGGGCCUCAAGAAAUCCUUCGAAACAGAAAUCAAAGUCUUGCUGGAAGGGUUCUGGGCACCCUGGACUGUCCACAUGGGAGGCUGUUGGUGCGUGUGCCUACGUGUGUCCAUCAGUGGAUGCACGAAGAAGGAAAUGUGUCAGGUGGUGCUGAGGCUGCUGGAACCUCCUCUGGGUUCCAGCAGGAGAGAAGAAGGCUGGUAAGCAGAGCUCAGUGUGGAUUUU